UACGUAGGGUGCGAGCGUUAAUCGGAAUUACUAGGCGUAAAGCGUGCGCAGGCGGUUAUGUAAGUCGGAGGUGAAAUCCCGGGGCUCAACCCCGGAACUGCAUUCGAUACUGCUGAGCUAGAGUACUGGAGAGGAGAUUGGAAUUUACGGUGUAGCAGUGAAAUGCGUAGAUAUCGUAAGGAAGACCAGUGGCGAAGGCGGAUCUCUGGACAGUUACUGACACUGAGGCACGAAGGCCAGGGGAGCAAACGGG
rnacentral:rRNA from 1 species